UAAUUGCGCNUCAACUUGUGAACUGCAGGACACAUGAACAUCGACAUUUCGAACGCACAUUGCGGUCCACGGAUACAAUUCCCGGACCACGCCUGGCUGAGGGUCG
rnacentral:rRNA from 1 species